UACGUAGGGUGCGAGCGUUAAUCGGAAUUACUGGGCGUACAGCGUGCGCAGGCGGUGCUGUAAGACAGCUGUGAAAUCCCCGGGCUCAACCUGGGAACUGCAUUUGUGACUGCAUCGCUGGAGUGCGGCAGAGGGGGAUGGAAUUCCGCGUGUAGCAGUGAAAUGCGUAGAUAUGCGGAGGAACACCGAUGGCGAAGGCAAUCCCCUGGGCCUGCACUGACGCGCAUGCACGAAAGCGUGGGGAGCAAACAGG
rnacentral:rRNA from 1 species